AGGCACCUUUUUGGGAAAUGAUGCAAUUUGGGUGCUUGCAACCAGUUGUCUGGAGGUGCUGAGUGAAGACUGAGUCGAUUGUAACUGAACAAAGGGAAGAUGAAAGAGGCUGUGAAAGAAAUUGUGCCAUUGAGAACAGACGACUUAAUGGAGUUGUAGAGGUGUGUCAGAUGGGAUUUGUCUUCAUCACUGUGAGCUGCCCCUUUGUGUAGCUUCCUAUUGCUUAAAUCACUAGAGCUUCCAGCAAACUGAAGAAUACUCACUUUGUUCAAGCCUGUGAGUUGCAACUGACUUAAUUGCUUAGAAAAAUAUCUUUACAGGGCAAAGCAAAAGCAAACAAAAUGCUCCAAAAGUGCAGAAGACUAGACUAAAAGAGAACUGGCACAGAAGCUAUCACCUUGUAAACAUGAAAAAGCUUCUGAAAACACCUCUGUGUAAGACAGGAUCCAAAGUGUCUUCUCAUCCCACUGACCCUUUGUGGUGACAGUUUCAGUAUCAGCAAACACAGGACCAGCUUUGGUAGCAGCACUCACUGUGCUGUGCUGAAUCACUGGGGGCCAAGCUGAAGAUACAGGGUGCUGCACUGUUGUGCCUGAUCCAUUGCCCUCUCUGAUUUCCAGAAACUGGAUAUAUGAACUUGCAGUAAACAUUUUAAGUGAUUACAGCCCUGGAAAGAAGAGUGAGCUACAUGUGAAAAGGCAUUAAAGUCAGUUCAUGUGAUGCAAACCUUUGUGAUUCCACUUCCCAUGGGAAUACAUCAGAAGACAAGGCACACUAUUAAGAUAACUGUUACAUCAGUGAAGCCCUGCUUUGUAGAACAUUGGUUUGGGAAGUCUCACCUGGUCUAUCAUUGCAAGGAACCAUGUGACAAACUCCUGUUGCCACCCAGACAGCCACCAACCACCCUGUGAAAGAGAUUUGAUUCCAGCAUAUAAAUUCCUGUACAAGCAAGUCUCGGCAAACAAAGCCCUUCAUCAAGAUGAAGCUGCUGCAUGAGCUUGAAUUAUUACACUCUCAGCCCUGCUGUGAAAUCAACAGGAAGAACAGGACAGUGCAGCACAUCCGUGGAAAAUCUGCCUCUCUGCGUGACUUCACAGAUCACAGCAUCUCCUGAGACACUGUUACUCUCCUGCCAAUAUCAAUACACCACCAGGAAGGUUCCCAGUGAGCUGUGGUGCACUGGCCAGACCUUUGGUCAGGUCCAGAACUGCACUGAUGUUUUUUUGCUGGCCAGUCUGUCAGAUAGUGUCUGUGUCUGUGGCACCUCUGUGACACCAAGCCAGCAGUGCUGAUGGCACCUCACGUCUCACGAAGCCUUCACUGUGCUGAAGACCCUUGGGUGCUGAUGAUUAUCUUUGGGUACUGAUGAUUAUUUUUGCCUCUUGCCAGCUUUUGUUUCCUCCUUCAUUUUCUUCGUUGUUUUCUGCAACAGUU